ACCUAAGAGACAAUUAGAAAUAAUUCUAAUUUGAAAAAUUGGAGUUUUCAGACUAUAAAAGUGCUCAUACAAUUUUAAUUUCUACACGCUAACAAUGAAAAAUAUGGCUAAAACUCUCAUGUUUUUUCACAUUAUGUUUAUUUUAAUUUUCACAUUUAUCAUUCUCAUCGAAGGCUUUCAUCCACUAAGUAAGACGAUUCUUUUUUUUUUCUUCAAUUUAUUUCCUUUAUAUGUUUUAUUCCCUAUUAUUAACAAGGCAACUCAAGUCUAACAUGGAAGACUUUAUAAUGCACAAGUUGUCAAUAUUAUUAUAGAUCAUCCAUCAAAACUAAUUGUUUAUGAGUUUUUAUUUAAUAUCGUUAAUCUUGAUUAGUAUCAAUAACAUAUCAAAUGAUUUUUUUAUUUUUUCAAAAAAAAAAAAAUUAUUGACAAUCUAUAUGAUAUAAAUUUUCAAUUUAACGAUGAAUUGUGUAAAAUUCGUAUUUGUUAUAAUUAAUAAUAUAGACAAUUUAUGCACCAUAAAAAACUUGUGAAAUUUUUCAUGAUAGACCAAGCGUUAUUAACAUUAAUUUUUUUCUUAUUUGUUCGACAUCACAGGAAAUGGACAAAAUCCUCCGUGUUUAAAGAACGUAGAUUGUCCUACUUAUUUGUGUCUCUAUCAUUGGACUCCAAGGUGUGUAAAGAAUCGUUGUCGAUGUGUAUAAUGAAUGAUUUCAUCCUUGAAAAUUAUAAAAAUGGCCAUUAGUACUACUACUAUUAAUAAAUUUUCCCUUCAGCACCUUUUUAUCAAGUUCAAAAAUAAAGUUGUGGUAAUUCUAUGAGUAUAAUCGUAUUUGUAAUUAUUAUAUGUUGGUACGUUGGCUUUUUUCAUAGGUGUUCUGCUUAUAUAUGACGCCUUUAUUUUGUAAUUUCGCUUUUUUAAUCUCUAUUUAUUUUAUGCAGAAAUCGAUUAUUAAUAAUAUAAUAUGUUGGUGCGUUUUGUUGAAUAUAUAUUUUAUUAGCCAUUUAUGUUUUGCACUGCAUUUUUUUCCCUUCAUCAUGGUUUUAUUUUAAAGGUUUUUUUAUAAAAAUUUUAACGAGGCCGUUGGUGUGAAAUCUCUUGAUUGUUAUCUUGGGUAAUUAUUUAGUCCCCCGAACGUCUGUUUCAUCAUUUUAUUUUAAUAAGUUUAUUAGGUGUUGCAUAUAAGCUAAUUAGAUAAGUUUCUUACCAAACACGUCUAUUUAUAUCAAGCAAGCUUAAUUAUAAACUAGUCCAAUUAACUUAUUGGACUUACCAAACACAUCCUAGUAUUUUUCUCACCCUUUUAUUUCUUCAAUGAUGCUUCAGAGUAACUAAUAGGAGCAACAUUCUGUAACCUAAAAACAAAAUGUCAAACAACAUAAUAUAUUAUAUGUUGGAUUUUUGCUAAACACAUCAAAGAUUGAAUUUUUAAGUCGAAAAUGAAAGUAAAAUUGAAGAACCUGGUCUCUAGAGUGUAAGUCAUUGGACUUGUAUAUUUUUUUCCACGUAUAAUCACUUAUUUUAGAUGAUUUUUGCUACUGAUUGAUAAGGCAAAUGGAACCUCUAGUUUUUCAUUGAUCAUAGCAAAACCUUAUAUAGCCAAUGUACAAGAUACAAGUUAGUUACAACAAACUUAACAAACACUAAACGGUUAACUUGAGCCUUAAGCCACAGCUGGUGCGCGCGCGUGCCUUAGCAGCAGGCCUGCUCACAGGCUUGGCAAGCUUGCUCAUGAGCCUUGCAACUAACUAGACUAACUUUGAUCAACACUUAUCUAACAUUGUCUCUCCUAAACUGAACCAUGUCAAGGCUUCAGUUUAUGUCUUCAGACUUACACAAUCCAAGCAUAUCUCUGAACUUGCAAAAACUCUCAAGGGAUAGAGCUUUUGGUCAUAAUAUAUGUAGUCUGCUCAAAGGAUGAGCAAUGUAGCAACUGUAUCUUUCCAUCUUUGGUCAAAUCUCUGAGAAAAUGAAACCUAACAUCAAUAUGUUUACUCCUUCCAUGCAUCACUGGAUUUUUUGAUAAUUUGAUUGUGGAGCUGUUGUCACAAUACAAGGUAAUGCAAUCAUUUUUCCUGUUGCUGAUGUGAUCAAGUACUCUACUCAACCAAAUGGCCUGACAAGCACAGUUGGCUGCUGCUAUAAAUUCAGCUUCAGUUGUUGAUAGGGUUACAAUUGGCUGUUUUUUGGAACACCAGGACACAGCUUUUGAACCAAUCAUAAACACAUACCCUGAUGUACUCUUUCUAUCAUCAAGGUCUCCAGCAUAAUCUGAAUCUGACCAUCCAGGAUACAAUUUUUCACAUACGACAAAAUGUAAAAGAAAGCACAGUGGCCAAAGGCUGAGGGUUAAAGCAAAAAACUCAGGCACGCAGCAAGGUUGAGGUGACGACAAUGAAAGGAUUUUAGGGUUUUUCGGUUUCACUUUCUCUUUAUGCAUAUAUUACUAUUUAUAUUUAUAUCAUAUAGAUCAUCGAUGUUCAAUUUAAAAAAAAAAAUCUAAAAUUAUUUCAUAUGUUAUUGAGACCGAUCAAGAUUAACGCUUCAUGUGUUUUUAUUGAAUACCGUUAAACUUGAUCAAUCUCAAUAAAAUAUCAAACGAUUUUAAAUUUUUUAUAAAAUUUAACAUGAAUGAUCUAUAUGAUAUAAACGCUCAAUCCAACGAUGAAUUUUGUAAAAUUUGUAUUCGUUGAAACGUUAUUUAACAGUGUAACAUUACUCAAAUGUUACACCGG
rnacentral:lncRNA from 1 species